rnacentral:misc_RNA from 1 species
CCAACGUUGGUCUGGUGGAUAAUAAGUUGUCGGAUAAUCAACGGCGGUGGCGACAAAACUUAACAAAACGAUAUUUUUAUGUUGCGGUGGUACGACAAAAUCGACGAAACCAUCAGGGGAUGACAUAAAAUCACGACAUUCUACAACAUCUUUCUCCCAUUCGAUUUUUCCACGUACUUUUAGGCAAAUUUGAAUUUUUUCGUUCGGAGCAGGCGUGUCGUCGUGUCGCAAAACUCGUAACUAUCAUAAAAAGAUACGAUUUAAAUAAGUGCUUCGUGCAUCACCACGGUUCUGCUAAUCGUAGUUUCUACUACACCAGUCCCGGCUUCUGUGAAUUCAGCUAUGAGAACGAUAUUGUUCGGAUCCAUUUUCCAAUGCGCCAAACCAAGAACCGUCCCAGAAAGAACAAAUUCGGUGCAACCAUCCGGUUUAUCGAG